AGAGUUUGAUCCUGGCUCAGAACGAACGCUGGCGGCAUGCCUAACACAUGCAAGUCGAACGAGACCUUCGGGUCUAGUGGCGCACGGGUGCGUAACGCGUGGGAAUCUGCCCUUCGGUUCGGAAUAACUCAGGGAAACUUGAGCUAAUACCGGAUAAUGACGUAAGUCCAAAGAUUUAUCGCCGAAGGAUGAGCCCGCGUAGGAUUAGCUUGUUGUGGGGUAAUGGCCCACCAAGGCGACGAUCCUUAGCUGGUCUGAGAGGAUGAUCAGCCACACUGGGACUGAGACACGGCCCAGACUCCUACGGGAGGCAGCAGUGGGGAAUAUUGGACAAUGGGCGAAAGCCUGAUCCAGCAAUGCCGCGUGAGUGAUGAAGGCCUUAGGGUUGUAAAGCUCUUUUACCCGGGAUGAUAAUGACAGUACCGGGAGAAUAAGCUCCGGCUAACUCCGUG
rnacentral:rRNA from 1 species